CACGUAGGGGGCUAGCGUUGUCCGGAAUCAUUGGGCGUAAAGAGCGUGUAGGCGGCCCGGUAAGUCCGCUGUAAAAGUCAAAGGCUCAACCUUUGAAUGUCAGUGGAUACUGUCGGGCUCGAGUCCGGAAGAGGAGUGUGGAAUUCCUGGUGUAGCGGGUGAAAUGCGCAGAUAUCAGGAGGAACACCAAUGGCGAAGGCAGCACUCUGGGACGUGACUGACGCUGAGACGCGAAAGCGUGGGGAGCAAACAGG
rnacentral:rRNA from 1 species